CAGUCGCCGCGGGAAUACGUAGGGUGCGAGCGUUAAUCGGAAUUACUGGGCGUAAAGCGUGCGCAGGCGGUUUUGUAAGACAGGCGUGAAAUCCCCGGGCUCAACCUGGGAAUGGCGCUUGUGACUGCAAAGCUAGAGUGCGGCAGAGGGGGAUGGAAUUCCGCGUGUAGCAGUGAAAUGCAUAGAUAUGCGGAGGAACACCGAUGGCGAAGGCAAUCCCCUGGGCCUGCACUGACGCUCAUGCACGAAAGCGUGGGGAGCAAACAGGAUUAGAUACCCGCGUAGUCCCUGUCUCUUAUAC
rnacentral:rRNA from 1 species